AGAAAUGUGGUGAAAAAGUGUUGAGAGAAUGGAAGUGAACUUAGCUGCACAAGAAAAGCAGAAGUAACAAUUUCUACAAGAAAGUUGUGGACCUUUGACUUUUAACAGARACUUGAAAAAUAUUAAAGUCAAAAAUGAGGUGUCAUAAUCAAAGGUUUGUGAUCAAAAGUGUAAUUAGUAUGUUAACCCAUAACUGUUGAUUUGAGUAUUGAUUUUUACUUUGAUUUUAUAGAUAAAUGAAUAUGUUGAAUCUAUAAAACAAAUGUGUGACAAGCAAGGGACAGUAAUACUGUUUUAAUAUAAAAAAAAACAGGAAGUAAGAAUAAGAGCUGUAAGAAGAAGGAAGUUAUUGGUUACAGAAGAUGAUUUUGAAGAACAAGAAUAAUGAUUAAAUGUUUUACGAUAUAUAAAGUGAAUUUGAUGAAGGUUAGAAAAUAACAAUAGUUAGUAAAAAGAGGAACUGAAGRGCAUAGGUGUUAGUAAGACUGGGACAUUGGCAAGGAGGAUCUGGAAACUUCCCCUUUGGGUUAGUAACAGCAUAAAAACUAAUUGAUCACGGAAGACGAGGUCAAUCUCUCGCUCCGGCCAUAGAUGAAGAAGUAGGGUCUGAAAAGUAGCUAAGUUGAACUUGAAGGCUCUCUUUUGGAAAUCCAGAACAAAAACGGUAAUUUGUAGCAAAGGUAGUUGACUGGAAGAAUUUUUAGUUCAGAAAAGAUGAGAUGUAGAGACACGAAAGGCUGAUCACCUCCCAUUACAGCUGAACAACUUGAUCCAGGACAGAUUCAGAGCCUUGUCUUUGUCUCAGAAAGAUUUUCCUAUGGAGGUUUAACUCAGCUUUCAUUGCUUGGGUUCACUUAAAUGUUGUUUUAUUUUUACAGUCAACUGCUUAGGGAAAGAUGAAGCUGAUUUUGAGUUAUUUUGAUUAUUUUGAUGACAUGUUGAUUUGAGACCAUUAUAUCUAAUCAAUGAAUUGUGUUUUGGCUGUAACCCGCAAACGCUGCAACUAAUAAAGACAAGCAAGAAGAAAACUCUAAA